GACGAACGCUGGCGGCGUGCUUAACACAUGCAAGUCGAACGGAAAGGCCCUGCUUUUGUGGGGUGCUCGAGUGGCGAACGGGUGAGUAACACGUGAGUAACCUGCCCUUGACUUUGGGAUAACUUCAGGAAACUGGGGCUAAUACCGGAUAGGAGCUCCUGCUGCAUGGUGGGGGUUGGAAAGUUUCGGCUGUUGGGGAUGGACUCGCGGCUUAUCAGCUUGUUGGUGGGGUAGUGGCUUACCAAGGCUUUGACGGGUAGCCGGCCUGAGAGGGUGACCGGCCAAAUUGGGACUGAGAUAAGGCCCAGACUCGUACGGGAGGCAGCAGUGGGGAAGAUUGCACAAUGGGCGGAAGCCGGAUGCAGUAACGCCGCGUGCGGGAUGACGGCAUUCGGGUUGUAAACCGCUUUCGCCUGUGACGAAGCGUGAGUGACGGUAAUGGGUAAAGAAGCACCGGCUAACUACGUG
rnacentral:rRNA from 1 species